GAGGUUAUAGCUCAGUGGUAGAGUACUUGCCUAGCACAUAUGAGGCCCUGGGUUUGAUCUCAGAACCACA
rnacentral:tRNA from 1 species